GCACUGCUGACGAGUCCCACAAUAGGACUAAACUGCUAUCCAGUGC
rfam:Schistosoma haematobium scaffold376_19, whole genome shotgun sequence.